UACUUGGGAUAGUUGGCAAGAGUGGCGGGAACAUAUGUGAUGUAGCUACGUGAACUUACUAGACAUACUGUCUCAUUCUAGCGUUUAAUGCUGAGGAGGUCUCUAGCCUACAAGACUCAGAAGGACUAAACUAGGAAGGACGCAAUCUCGGUCACCGUAGCCACCCGGAUCCAGUCCGUACCCAAACCAGAUGAUGGAGCACUUUUGGAUGAGAGCUGAGCUGGAGGACAUAACUGAAUCAUCAAUGAACUGAUAACAACUGAAAAACUGACUGUUUGUUAUUGUCCUCUUGCAUUAUCGACAAAUUAUCUUCUUUUUUGAAACAAUCUGAACUGUAUAAAGCGCUAUAUAAAUAAAGGUGACUUGAUUUUAAUAAUAUAAAGGUUUAAAUUAAUGCUAAUCAAUGCUUUAUAACACCUUUGUGGCCCGGUUUUAUGUAGUUCCACCAACUUAAACAUUUCUGGCCUUGCCCUGGGUUCAACCAUAAUUUUAUGAAGCUACGAGAAUACUUUUUUUGAGCAUAAAAAUCAUUAUUUUUGUUUUCUUUGCAUGAUGUCUUUACUAGCUUUCUGGGCUUUGAAUGUUUCAGUUGCGUUGCUGUCUAUGCAGGGUCAGAAAACUCUCAGAUUUCAUCAAAAUAUCUUGAUUUGUGUUCCCAAGAUUAACAAAACAGUCUUAUGGGUUUGGAACAGGACUGUACACUCCUGCUUCAGAUGCUUUUGACUUAGUGUUCAUUUCCUUGAUGAAAAAUAUUUGUAGAUGACCUUUUUUCCAUGACUAAGAUAAGACGAAGACAAGAUCAUACUGACAUCAUUAAACACUGAACUGUAACUAUAUCAGCAUGCAAUAUCAUUGACAAAAAAUAUGAGACUAAAAUGACAUUUAAAAAAUAAAAGCACUUUAUAACUAAAA